rnacentral:lncRNA from 1 species
AUGCCCAUUUAAAAUCAGGUCGACUCCUGCGAAAGAUGGGUCUGGUUGGAAGAUUGAUGUAAAAUGUGGGUUACAUAAUCAUGGUUUACCUGAUAGAUUAGAAGGUCAUUCCUUUAUUGGUAGGUUGACCACAAAUGAGAAGCAACAUGUCGCUGAGUCUGGUUGGAAGAUUGAUGUAAAAUGUGGGUUACAUAAUCAUGGUUUACCUGAUAGAUUAGAAGGUCAUUCCUUUAUUGGUAGGUUGACCACAAAUGAGAAGCAACAUGUCG